ACGUAGGCAGCGAGCGUUGUUCGGAGUUACUGGGCGUAAAGGGUGUGUAGGCGGUUUUCUAAGUUUGGUGUGAAAUCUCCCGGCUCAACCGGGAGGGUGCGCCGAAAACUGGGAGACUAGAGUGCGGGAUGGGAGAGUAGAAUUCCUGGUGUAGCGGUGAAAUACGUAGAGAUUGGGAAGAACACCAGUGGCGAAGGCGGCUAUCUGGACGGUUACUGACGCUAAGACUCGAAAGCGUGGGGAGCGAACAGGA
rnacentral:rRNA from 1 species